UUCCAGGCCCUACGGGGCGCAGCAGGCGCGAAACCUUUACACUGCACGCAAGUGCGAUAAGGGGACCCCAAGUGCGAGGGCAUAUAGUCCUCGCUUUUCACGACUGUAAGGCGGUCGUGGAAUAAGAGCUGGGCAAGACCGGUGCCAGCCGCCGCGGUAAUACCGGCAGCUCAAGUGAUGACCGAUAUUAUUGGGCCUAAAGCGUCCGUAGCCGGCCACGAAGGUUCAUCGGGAAAUCCGCCAGCUCAACUGGCGGGCGUCCGGUGAAAACCACGUGGCUUGGGACCGGAAGGCUCGAGGGGUACGUCCGGGGUAGGAGUGAAAUCCCGUAAUCCUGGACGGACCACCGAUGGCGAAAGCACCUCGAGAAGACGGAUCCGACGGUGAGGGACGAAAGCUAGGGUCUCGAACCGGAUUAGAUACCCGGGUAGUCCUAGCUGUAAACGAUGCUCGCUAGGUGUGACACAGGCUACGAGCCUGUGUUGUGCCGUAGGGAAGCCGAGAAGCGAGCCGCCUGGGAAGUACGUCCGCAAGGAUGAAACUUAAAGGAAUUGGCGGGGGAGCACUACACGCCGG
rnacentral:rRNA from 1 species